AGAUCAACUAAGUUUGUUAUUAGUAUGAGCUUUUGCUCAUACUAAUAACAAACUUAGUUGGUUU